rnacentral:miRNA from 1 species
AGAAAACCUGGUAUGGAUUGUU